rnacentral:rRNA from 1 species
UACAGGGGGGGGCAAGCGUUGUUCGGAAUCACUGGGCGUAAAGGGAGCGUAGGCGGCCAUGUAAGUGAGGUGUUAAAUCCCCCCGGCUCAACCGGGGACCUGCACCUCAUACUGCACGGCUUGAGUACAUCAGAGGAGACUGGAAUUCCACGUGUAGCGGUGAAAUGCGUAGAGAUGUGGAGGAACACCGAUGGCGAAGGCAGCCUUCUGGGCCAAUACUGACGCUCAUGCACGAAAGCGUGGGGAGCAAACAGG